rnacentral:rRNA from 1 species
CCAGACUCCUACGGGAGGCAGCAGUGGGGAAUAUUGGACAAUGGACCGAGAGUCUGAUCCAGCAAUUCUGUGUGCACGAUGAAGUUUUUCGGAAUGUAAAGUGCUUUCAGUUGGGAAGAAAGAAAUGACGGUACCAACAGAAGAAGUGACGGCUAAAUACGUGCCAGCAGCCGCGGUAAUACGUAUGUCACGAGCGUUAUCCGGAUUUAUUGGGCGUAAAGCGCGUCUAGGUGGUUAUAUAAGUCUGAUGUGAAAAUGCAGGGCUCAACUCUGUAUUGCGUUGGAAACUGUAUAACUAGAGUACUGGAGAGGUAAGCGGAACUACAAGUGUAGAGGUGAAAUUCGUAGAUAUUUGUAGGAAUGCCGAUGGGGAAGCCAGCUUACUGGACAGAUACUGACGCUGAAGCGCGAAAGCGUGGGUAGCAAACAGGAUUAGAUACCCUGGUAGUCCACGCUGUAAACGAUGAUUACUAGGUGUUGGGGGUCGAACCUCAGCGCCCAAGCAAACGCGAUAAGUAAUCCGCCUGGGGAGUACGUACGCAAGUAUGAAACUCAAAGGAAUUGACGGGGGCCCGCACAAG